UGGGCCACGGUUUAAAACCGUCGCCUAUAGUAAACACUAUAGGCGACGGUUUUAAACCGUGGCCUAUACUAUAGGCUACGGUUAAAAACCGUGGCCUAUACUAUAGGCCACAGUUUAAAACCGUGGUCUAUAAUGUUGUAGGCACAGGUAAAAACCGUGGCCUUUAGUAUAAGCCA